rnacentral:siRNA from 1 species
CUACUUACACACAUUUCAGCAU